rnacentral:rRNA from 1 species
AUUGAACGCUAGCGGGAUGCCUCACACAUGCAAGUCGAACGGAGUGGCGAACGGGUGAGUAAUGCAUCGGAAUGUGCCCAGUAGCGGGGGAUAACUACGCUAAAGCGUAGCUAAUACCGCAUACUAUUGGAGCGGCCGAUGUGGGAUUAGCUAGUGGGAGGGGUAACGGCCUACCAAGGCGACGCUCCGUAGCUGGUUUGAGAGGACGACCAGCCACACUGGGACUGAGACACGGCCCAGACUCCUACUGGAGGCAGCAGGGGGGAAUGUUGGACAAUGGGGGAAACCCUGAGCCAGCCAGCCCGCGUGUGGGAUGAAGGCCUUCGGAUUGUAAAGCACUUGUGGCAGGAAGGCGGUACCUGCAGAAUAAGCACCGGCUAACUACGUGCCAGCAGCCGCGGUAAUUC